GUGGCCUAAGUGGUUAGAGUAUCUGCUUUGGAUGCAGGAGGUCAUGGGUUCAAACCCCAGGCUAUCUUACA